rnacentral:tRNA from 1 species
GCCUGCCUGGCUCAGUCCGUAGAGCAUUGGAGUCUCGAUCUCGGGGGUGUGGGUUCAAGCCCCACAUCAGGCA